UUACUGACCAGUACAGACCAGUACAGACCAGUACAGACCCGCACUGACCAUCACUGACCAUCACUGACCAGCACUGACACCCACACCGGGCCCAGCCCCACGGGCUCUACACAUCUGCCAGGACCCUGCUGGCCAUCCUGAGACUGUCCACGGCCCUGGCCCGGCUGCGUUUGGGCUCGCAGGUGGAGAAGGACGACGUCAGCGAGGCCCUGAGGCUGCUGGAGGCCUCCAGAGACUCCCUCAAGGGCGACCCCGAGCCCUCCAACAGGUGUCCCCGCCCCUCGGAGGCGAUUUUCGGGCUCCUGCGGGAGCUGGGGGGGCGGGGCCGGCAGCUGCCCCUCCCCCACGCCCU